CACACGUAGAGAGAGUACAGUGGAGCGUCCAAGAGGAAAGAGCAAAGUUUGAGAUUAAAGUCAUAAAGAUGGAUGAAAAAUUAUAUUAAAUGGUGAAUCUUUUUGUGCGAAAAACCCAAGAUAGAGAAGGUGAUCGAAAUGGGAUUAAGAGUGGUGGCUGCGGACGAGGAGUUGAGAUCCAGCGGGGGUCGAACCGCCUUUCAAUGGGAAGGAACCAUCUCUGCCAUAUUUUUGUUGAUCCUUAAUCGAACAGGUCGGAGAUCAGCCUUGCAGACUACCCUUCUAGUGUUGUAUCUGUUUACAAGUUUUCCAACCGUCCUGUUCAAUGUUUUAAGAGGACAAUUUGGUUAUUGGAUAGCCUUUCUUGCUGUUGCAGCAAACUUAUUCUUCCCUGAAACCUUUCAAGUUUCUCGCUUCAUUCUAUUUGUCAUCACACCUGACUGGCUGGCUAAUGGACUACGGGAUACUAUUGCUAGUGGUAUCUUUUGUCUUUUAAUGGCUGUUUCACUUCUCUUGGCAGAGCUUCGAGAAAUUGGAGGAUUGAGGGGUUGUGGAUUUAAUUGUCAUUGCUUUUCCUACUGUCUCGGUAUAGCUUUCUUGUUCUUCUUUACAAUAUUGUAUCUAAGUUAGCAGAAAAAUGAUUAAUUUCCAGGGGUUGAUGUUGUGGACCCCUUUGAAGGGACCACAUAUAAGAGAAAGUCCAAAGCUAGAUCAACAGAAGGGGGAAAUUAGGCAAUGAUAGAGGCAGGUUCAGCUUUUUUUUGGGUUGCUUUUAUUUUU
rnacentral:misc_RNA from 1 species